rnacentral:rRNA from 1 species
UGGGUGACCUGCCCUCAGCUCUGGGAUAAGCCUGGGAAACUGGGUCUAAUACUGGAUAUGACUGCGCAUCGCAUGGUGUGUGGUGGAAAGUUUUUUCGGCUGGGGAUCGGCCCGCGGCCUAUCAGCUUGUUGGUGGGGUGAUGGCCUACCAAGGCGACGACGGGUAGCCGGCCUGAGAGGGUGACCGGCCACACUGGGACUGAGACACGGCCCAGACUCCGUACGGGAG